rnacentral:rRNA from 1 species
CCUACGGGGGGCUGCAGUCGAGAAUCAUUCACAAUGGGGGAAACCCUGAUGGUGCGACGCCGCGUGGGGGAAUGAAGGUCUUCGGAUUGUAAACCCCUGUCAUGUGGGAGCAAAUUAAAAAGAUCGUACCACAAGAGGAAGAGACGGCUAACUCUGUGCCAGCAGCCGCGGUAAUACAGAGGUCUCAAGCGUUGUUCGGAAUCACUGGGCGUAAAGCGUGCGUAGGCUGUUUCGUAAGUCGUGUGUGAAAGGCGCGGGCUCAACCCGCGGACGGCACAUGAUACUGCGAGACUAGAGUAAGGGAGGGGGAACCGGAAUUCUCGGUGUAGCAGUGAAAUGCGUAGAUAUCGAGAGGAACACUCGUGGCGAAGGCGGGUUCCUGGACAUUAACUGACGCUGAGGCACGAAGGCCAGGGGAGCGAAAGGGAUUAGAUACCCUUGUAGUC